ensembl:lncRNA
AACUUGUCAGAAAACCAUAGAGAGAGUUGGAAACAGCCCUUGGAGCCUGCUCUGGGGCCUCCACCAUAGCACCAAGGCAUCGGCGCCUUUGUCUGCUGGCCUUGAACUCUCGUCCCUCUAGGAUGCUUUCAGCCAGGCCUUGCUGUCCCUUCUGUCCAGGAGGACAUGCGAGCACCAGUAAGCAGAUGUUUGCCCCUUUAGGCGAGAGUGACAUAUGAAAAUCUGAUCUGCAGAACAGCUAAACAAGCAGACUAUUUUUUGUUUUACAAAAUAACCCAGCUACAAGAUUCUUUUAAAUAGUGAGCUACCCCACAGAGAGUGUAAAAUCUGAUUUGCUUUAAAAAAAAAAAAAAGAAAGUGAUGUAAUAGCCAAACUUCCCAGCUAUACCAAGUAGCAAAGAGCAAGAUACUACGGCCACAUGCCCACCCCUGAUCACAGAAGGCUGAGGACACUGGGGGCAGGGGUGUACUUGGAUUUCAAACAGACCUGGCACUUGGUAACAUGUGGUGGGCCCUGUGGUCUGAUGGGCAGGGCCCUGAGCUGGCCCUGCAGAGGGCUGGGCCCUUGCCCUGGGGCCUACAUCUAUGGAUGAUAGAAAUUGGCCCCUGAGGAUGCCAACUACACCUCUACUGUUGGCACAGCUUUGGAUGCCACAAAGGGCCUCUCGGCACAGCCUGCCACCCCCUGCCUGUGGCAUGCAUGUGGGCACCCCUAGAUGGGCCCUUCCACCCCAGUUGAGUUCUGUGAGCCGCUCUAUGGGGCUUACCCAGACUGGGCUGGACCCUUUCGGAGCUGGACAAGUUAACCACUGACUGAGGUGGAGGUGCAGGGGUGGAAAGGGGUGUUGAGGGAGCAAGACAGCUUGUAUGUUGUAAAACAAAACCCAGAACACCCACCUCCCAUCCCUCUGCAGGGCCGCCGAUGGCACUUCUCCACUCUGGAUAAGACUGGGGUACCCUGGAUAGGAACAGGGAGAUGUUCCUACCAGACAGCCUGAAACAUCCUCCAGGCUGGGGGAUAGGAAGUGGUAGGCACCCGUUCAGCAAGAGUUAAUAGAGAGCUGCUCUGGAGUGAAACUUUCCCAGAAGGAGCUCUGCUGGAGGCCUGGACUGACUCCAAGAAGCCAACGGGAUGAGUCUGAGUUCUGCCUGCCCACCUUGGGAGAAAUGGGGGCCGACAUGCCUGGGAUCCCCCUCCCGGCUAAGCUCGUCAGCCAUGGAGGCAGAACUGGGUGCCCUGACUGGAGUCUGUGCCUUGGUUUCCCCACCCGCACACCCUCUGCCUGUACCUGUAGUCCGACUGCUCCGAGAUGGAGUUCUGGAGGUCAGAAGUCGGAAAUCGAUCUCACUGGCCAAGAUGACGUUGUGCGCAGGGCCACGACCCCUCCCUCCGGUGGCUCCAGGGGCGAAUCUGCUUCUCUUGCGGCUUCUGGUGGCUGUAGGCAUUCCUCGGCUUGUGGCCAUGUCACUCCGAUCUCGGCCUCCUCCGUCCUCACAUCCCCUUCUCCUCUCUCCUUUGUCUAAUCUCCGUCUGCCUCUCUCUUAUAAGAACACUUGUGACAGCAUUUAGGGCCCACCCAGGUGGUCCAGGAUGAUCUCCUCGUCUCAAGAUCCUUGACUUCAUCACAUCUGCAAAGACUCUUUUUCCAAAUAAGGGACGUUCAUAGUUUCCAGGGAUUUGACGUGGACAUCUGGGGUGGUGGUGUUCAGCUGGCCACGGUCUUCAUUCUGGCCAUCUCUGUAUCAUCAGACUGUGGUAGACAACGCGUGUGACACCCAGACCCCCUCUUUGAAGAAGGCUCAUUGCCUUCCUCAGCAGGGGCCUCCAGCUGUCAGCUCCCUUAGGGUCUGCCUCAGUGGCACAGAGCCACCUCACCGAGGGCAUGCCCUUCUGGGGCAGCCCGCAUCUGGGGACAUAUUUCAGCCCCAGGAAGGACACUCUGAGGGGCAGCGGUCACUCCAG